rnacentral:lncRNA from 1 species
UUCGAACCUUAAUGAACCGUCUUCAUGUAUCUUGAAUUCAGAUUGAACACCAGCUUCCAUUGAAUUUCUUAUUUUUAUUAGUUGUGGAUCAUUAUUCUGGACAACUGAAAUUCUUUCAAUGAGUGUUGGCUGAACCCUCAUGUUGGCUAACCGUACUGUUGAGUCAUAUAUUCGGAUGUCUAAUUCUAAUUUUCUUAUAUCCUUUAACAAUUGACUUUGGUGUGUGAUUAAAAUCGUCAAAUUUCCCACAGAUUUCCUACUAAGGGCAUCAGCAACAACAUUAGCUUUUCUCGGAUGAUAAUGGAUUGUUAAAUCAUAAUCCUUUAAUAGUUCUAACCACCUUCUCUGUCUCAUGUUUAAUUCUUUCUGUGUAAAAAUAUACUUCAAACUCUU